UGUGUGAAGAGUAUGAGCAACCGUUAUGUUGAAUGGAGCACAUCUGGAUUUUAUCAUGCAAAGCUUUCUGGUAUAUGCUUGGAAAUUUAUUAGCUUUUUCUUAUUCCUAUUAACUACGAAGGUAGCAUUUUCCUGAACUAGUAAUGUAUGUGAAGGCUUAUUUUUCCCUCGGAAGCAAGAGUAAAAUCCACUGAAGAGUAACUGGGAGGUGUCUUGGUACCUGAUCGAAGCCCUCCGAGAGGGCAUUUUGUCAAUAUGCCUGCGCUUGGUUGAUACGUCAAAUCUUCUAGUCAUGGUUAACUCAAUGGUCGGAGAACAAUGGUGAUUUGGUGCUUUUUUCGGAUAGGAGGGAGGAAUGAACCCAUGGGUUCUUCUUCUUCUUCUUCUUCUUUUUUAAAUCCAUAGAUUACAAAUUUCCAAUGCAGGAAAAAUGCGGCCAACGGCAUCACCAGAGCGUAGAAAACUGCGGGUAGGAAGACCACGCCUAUAGGAUAGGCCAUGCCCUGCCAAACAGGACAUCGUGAUUGGUCCGUGAAAUCACUGUUGAAGAAUUUCCCUCCAGAAAAACAUUUGAAGCUGUGGCAAAACAGCUUGCUGCAAGCGGUAUCUCUCUUAUGAUAACCAAGCACACACCCUAUGACUGUUUCACUGCUGUGUCUUGACAGACUUGUUCAUCAUGUGCAAAACCUCGAGGAGGAACUUAAGCAUCUUAGGAAAUUAGUUCAGAUUAAAUAACACUUGUCGACCAAGGACAGCUACAAAGAUGCAGGCCGGC
rnacentral:lncRNA from 1 species